UAAAGGGCCGCGGUAAUUUGACCGUGCGAAGGUAGCAUAGUCAGUAGUCUUUUAAUUGAAGGCUUGAAUGAAAGGUUGGACGAGGGAUGAGCUGUCUCUUUUGCGUGGUUUGAAUUUAACUUUUGAGUGAAAAGGCUCAAAUUGCUUAGUGGGACGAUAAGACCCUAUAAAACUUAAUAUAAAUUUAUUUAAUUUAUGAUUUAAGUGAAAAGUAAUUUAAGUGGGUUUAUAUUUUGUUGGGGAGAUGUAGAUAUAAUAUGUAACUGUUUAUAAAAUUUAAUAAUUAUAAUUAGUGUGUGAUCCUUCUUUGUGGAUUAAAAGUAUAAGUUACUUUAGGGAUAACAGCGUAAUUUUCUUUGAGAGUUCUUAUCGACAAGAGUAGUUGCGACCUCGAUGUUGAAUUAAAAUUUCAGCUAGGUGUAGCC
rnacentral:rRNA from 1 species